UAUAUUUUUUUUCUGAUGAUUUUUCGUAGGAAUCUCACUGAGCUUCAGUCAUUCGUUGCUUUGAAAUCAAUUUAUCUUUCUGAUUAUACCAAUAGU
rnacentral:snoRNA from 15 species